rnacentral:rRNA from 1 species
GUCCUUUUGAUUAUGAUUUAAGGUCAGUCCUGCCCAAUGAUUAUUUAAAUGGCCGCAGUAUCUUGACUGUGCAAAGGUAGCAUAAUCAUUAGUUUCUUGAUUGGAAGCUGGUAUGAAUGGGUCGAUGAAAAAUUGACUGUCUCCUUCUAAUAUUUUAGAAUUUUAUUUUUAAGUGAAAAAGCUUAAAUUUUAUUGAAAGACGAGAAGACCCUAUAGAGUUUUAUUUUAUUCAUAUAACUAAUUUUUGGUUUUAUUUUGUUAUUGUUUUUAAUUUGGUUGGGGUGAUCAAUAAAUUAAUUAAACUUUAUUUUAUAAUAACUUUGAUUUGAGAUUUUUUGAUCCUUAAUUUUGGAUUAUAAGAUUAAAUUACCUUAGGGAUAACAGCGUUAUUUUUCCUUGGAGUUCUUAUUUAUGGGAAAGUUUGCGACCUCGAUGUUGGAUUAAAAUUUAUUUAUGGUGCAGUAGCUAUAAUAUUAGGUCUGUUCGACCUUUAAAAUUUUACA